rnacentral:tRNA from 1 species
UAGCUCAGCCAAUUGAGCAUAGCGCUCACAAUGCUAAUGUCAUGGGUUCGAUUCCCAU